rnacentral:rRNA from 1 species
UACGGAGGGUGCAAGCGUUAUCCGGAAUUACUGGGUUUAAAGGGUCCGCAGGCGGGCUGAUAAGUCAGUGGUGAAAUCCUACGGCUCAACCGUAGAACUGCCAUUGAUACUGUUAGACUUGAAUACAGUUGGAGUAGGCGGAAUGUGUAGUGUAGCGGUGAAAUGCUUAGAUAUUACACAGAACACCGAUAGCGAAGGCA